rnacentral:rRNA from 1 species
CCUUUGGUGGUACCGUCAGCUUGCCCCGAAAGAGCAAGGGUUCUUCCCACCUGACAGGGCUUUACGACCCGAAGGCCUUCAUCACCCACGCGGCGUUGCUGCGUCAGGGUUUCCCCCAUUGCGCAAUAUUCCC